rnacentral:rRNA from 1 species
GGGAUCAGCCUAAACCUGUGUGGUGGAAAGCCUGACGGCGUUGCCACAUGGGGGUUGUGGGAACCGAUGGACACUGCGUCAGAAGUGUCACGGAGUUACAAAUCGAGUGUGUAGUGGAACGACUCUGGAAAGGUCGGCCGCAGUGGGUAAGAGCCCCGUACACGAAACGCAUCUCGACUCCGAUCGUGUCUCCCGAGUAGCGCCGGAUCCGGGAAAGCCGGCGUGAAUCUGCGAGGACCACCUCGUAAGGCUACGUAUAUGUCAGUGACCGAUAGUGAACUAGUACCGUGAGGGAAAGGUGAAAAGUACCCCGGGAGGGGAGUGAAAUAGUACCUGAAACCGUUGGUUUACAAGCAGUCAGAGUGUCGUCACUUCGGUGGCCACGAUGGCGUGCCUUUUGAAGAAUGAGCCUGCGAGUUACGGUGUGUGGCGAGGUUAACCCGUGAGGGGGAGCCGGAGCGAAAGCGAGUCUGAACAGGGCGUUCAGUCGCAUGCUGUAGACCCGAAGCCGAGUGAUCUAGCCAUGGGCAGUGUGAAGCGGGGGUAAGACCCCGUGGAGGCGCGAACCCACUUCGGUUGAAAACGGAGGGGAUGACCUGUGGUUAGGGGUGAAAGGCCAAUCAAACUCGGUGAUAGCUGGUUCUCCGCGAAAUGCAUUUAGGUGCAGCGUUGCGUGUUCAGUCAUGGAGGUAGAGCACUGAAUGGGCUAGGGGCCCCACAAGGUUACCGACCCCAAUCAAACUCCGAAUGCCAUGACUCCAGAGCGCAGCAGUGAGACCUCGGGGGAUGAGCUUCGAUGGUCGAGAGGGAAACAGCCCAGAUCACCAGCUAAGGCCCCUAAUUCUGUACUAAGUGGUAAACGAUGUGGGAUUGCACAGACAGCCAGGAGGUUGGCUUAGAAGCAGCCACCCUUGAAAGAGUGCGUAAUAGCUCACUGGUCGAGUGAUCCUGCGCGGAUAAUGUAACGGGGCUCAAGUACAGAGCCGAAGCUGUGAAUUCCUAUGUAUGUAGGAGUGGUAGCGGAGCGUCGAUCUUGCAGCGAAGCGGCGGUGGAAACCGUCGUGGAGCGAGGUCGAGUGCGAAUGCAGGCAUGAGUAGCGAAAGAGGGGUGAGAAACCCCUCCGCCGAAUAUCCAAGGGUUCCUGGGGAAGGCUAAUCCUCCCAGGGU